GGAAUGCAGUCAAAACAUGUUCAGAAGCGUAAGUGAUAAUGUUAUUAUUACGAGUUAAUGAUGUACACAAACACAUUCAACAACUCAUUUAGUGAUUUUAUCAAGCAAUGACCAUAUGAAACCAACAAUCAUGGAAACCACAGGAGGAAUAAACUUAAUUUGUUUAACAUGCCAGACAACUGUAAGAGACGACUGAACUUGUGAAUAUGUUAACGCAAAACAUUCUUUGCCUGCAAAAGGACUUCUUGGGCAAGUUGGUGCUUAGAUUUCCUAGGUAUACUUUGUGGCGCAAAAUACAUUUCUGGAAAAGGGACAGAAGAAAGGGAGACAGUGAAGCGCCAAACUACCAACUGUUUAAUGACAGCCUGAACAAACGUAUAGAAGAAAAUACAACUUCCGCUCAUGCGCAGGGAGCCAAGGUGUGACAGAACAACGUGGUCAUGAGAACAUACGUUGUAUGAAGCACAUUUCUGCGGAAUAUAAUACGAUAGAUGUAUCGCUGACACAAUCAGACCCUUUCUUUUUAAUAUAAAACGCUUCCAACAACUCCCGCGGCCCCUCGUGUGUGAUCCGGGGGCUGCCAGAAGCAGCACGCCAAACAUUUCAGGGACUGCGUUGAAGGGGUGGUCUACGAAAUACCCCUAGAUUGCGGCAAGUCAUACGUCGGACAAACGGGACGUUGCAUUAAUGACAGACUGAGGGAGCACGCUAAUAGCAUCGGCAAGAGUGAGAACGCGCAUCUUCCUGCGCACUGUAAAGCCUGUCGUUGUAGACCAUGCUUUGAACAAGUAUUGAUUCUUGGCAGAAGUAGGGAGCAAACUGCAAGGGAGUUGUUGGAAGCAUUUUAUAUUAAAAAGAAAGGGUCUGAUUGUGUCAGCGAUACAUCUAUCGUAUUAUAUUCCGCAGAAAUGUGCUUCAUACAAAGUAUGUUCUCAUGACCACGUUGUUCUGUCACACCUUGGCUCCCUGCGCAUGAGCGGAAGUUGUAUUUUCUUCUAUACGUUUGUUCAGGCUGUCAUUAAACAGUUGGUAGUUUGGUGCUUCACUGUCUCCCUUUCUUCUGUCCCUUUUCCAGAAAUGUAUUUUGCGCCACAAAGUAUACCUAGGAAUUCUUUGCCUGAGUCGGCCAUUUUGGGGUACCUGGCAUACUGAGCAGCGCUCUGCCACUAGAAGGUGCAGUGUGUCUGGUGCAUGAAGGUAUGUGACAAUGUCACGCGCAGCAAACAAUGAGAAGUUGUAGUUGUACAGAUGACUGCAAGGUGUUUUCCCACUGCAGAAGCAGCAAUGUGUUGUGCAAGCGAUGAUGUGCUAUGCUGACAAGGUUGCCAUGGAGUGAAUUGUAUGUUUAUGUGAGAUGUAUAUGCAUCACACAUAUGCAUGUCAAGGGUGAAGACAAGCUACUGUUGAAAUUUGCAUGACUUGAGUAAGAAGGUGCAAGUGUAAAAAAACUAAAACAAAAAAAUAUGAUGGAAACACAAAACAUUUCAUACUAUGUGAAUGCAAUAAAUGCAGUAGGAAAGUGGAAAUGUAUAAAUAUGAGUGUGUGAAAAUUAGAAAUUUUGAACAUAAAUUAAAAUUGUUGAAUAUUUGUUUCUGUAUAGACACAAGUGAUAACACUUAUUGAAGUUUAUGUGGAGAUGGAUCGAAGCAAGUAAUGACUGUUCCGAAUGACUUUGAUGCUCAAGAGAGUGAGAGAGAUAGAGAACAACUAUUUAAUGCAAAGCCCUAGUCUGGGUUCACUGAGAAAAGGGAGGGUCAUCUGACAUUACUCACACUCAUCGAUGAUGAAAAAGAAAUAAUUUUGUGGUCUGAAAUGGCAGUUUCAAUUUCAAUGGAUUCUUCACUGAAAACUUUGCUGAAGAAUAAGAGGUCAAGAAUAUUCACUCCCUGAGUACAUACACCGAGAACCUGCUGAAGACUGAAUGUUAGCAUGACAUCAAUGUGUAAGUCAGAGGAAGGACUGUGUCCGUAACUCCACUUUUUCCAUUCUGUUUGUGGGACAAUAAAAUUACCAGUAAUUAUUAAGUUAGUUCUCUAUAUUUCCAAAGGUUAUCAUAUCAUUUCUGCAUAAACUGAGCAUCAGCAUUUGGUGUCUGAUACACAGAAUGUAAUAUGCAUGAUGCUCCCCAAACAGAGACACUCAAAAACAAACUUUCAUGGUUAUCAAUCCAAUCUAGUUAUCUUACAUCAACACUAAUAGCUGUGAGGUCACCGCCUCGAGAGCAUCUAUCUUUCCUAAACAGUUAGUGGUUUGGCGAAAUGAUUUCAUUACCAUGCACCCCGUCGUGCAAACAAGUUUCAGAUCUAACACAUAGUACAUGCGGAUCGUGUACUAGUAAAAGAUCAUGCAGUUUCUCUAUUUCGGUGGCAGUUUCUAUACUUCAUUGACAAUACACUGGGCAUUUGGUUAAAGCAGUUGAAACUGCUGCGACUGUGACUGCUAUUUCGUGUGUUUUUAUCGCAUUUCUGCACUCUCUUUUUUCUUUUGAAUUAGUUUCCGCAUGUUUUGUACGUCGUCCCAAAUGUACAAGUCAUUGUCAACGCGAAUCUUAUCAUAAAUAAGCCUGACUCUAUUGCCACUGUCUUUUUUUUUCUUGCGCACUGCUCCAGAGCAGACGCCGCUUGCGCAGUAUGUCUGCACAAUAAUCAUCUUGCAAGGAUAUUCCUGUUCCCUUCUAUUUUUGUGCAUUUUCCAAGAGAGCUUGGUUUUCAGAAUAGUCCUGUAAACACGUAAUGACUGGCCUUCCUGUGGGUGUUUUCCCAAGUCUGUGGAUUCGCGCGACAGAUGUAUAAUUUAUUCCUAACUUACCCUGAAAGACAUCCCGGACAACCUUAUCCUGUAGUAUCGUUUCUGUUUCAUUCGGAUCUUCAGAAAUUCCAAAAGCUAUGAAAAACUGCGGUUUUCCAAAUCAGUAAGUUUUUCUUGGUGAAUUUUAAGUAUUUCCUGCAUUGCACUUACAGCCGCAUUUACUUCUUCGUUUUCUUCAUUCUUUGCUUUUAAUUCAAUGAUACUACUUUCCAAGCUUCUUAAAUACUUUUCGAAACCGUGUAUCGCUUUUUCCAUGGACUCAAGGCAUUCUUUCAAAGAAGCAAUGUCUUCUCUAAUUGUCUGUUGGUCACUCAUUAAUGACUGGAACAUUUCCUCAAUGGUUGGACCUGGAUUUUCUUCCAUAUCUCCACAAACUAGGAGCUUGCAAGAAUUUAAACAAUCACAGGCAAUACUCAUACACACAUAUGGGCACAGCAGUACAACCAGAAAUCUAUCAUCACUGCUAUAGUAACAUCGGCACUAUUGUAACUAACCUGUACAAGAACAACAUGACGCAUAGUCAGCUAUGUCUGCCCAGCGCUUUUUCCAUGCCCACUUUUGUCCCUUUUUGAAAUACUUGCCAAGCAGUCACAUGGGAGAGAGAGUCGCAGUCAACACUGCAUGUCUAUGGGUCUGUAUGGGUGUAACGUGAUUCAAGAAUACAACGGUUUGCAAAAUUGACUGCUAUGUAGGUGCAUUUUUCUGUACAUGUCUUCCCGCUCAUUAUAUGUUGAGGGAAACAAGUCAUACCAUACCCACACCGACUAUGGUCAUGUUUAGGCACGCAUGAUCCUGUUAGCAUGCUAUCAUUGCUUUGAAAGGUCCUUCUGUGUUGGUUAUUCCAUUGCCGACGUUUUUAUUUUUCUGGCAUGAGAACUGCUACAUCUACCUAGCUAGAAGAAGGAACAGUGAGAGUUGGGCGAGUCGGGCAGCAGAACAGUUGGGAGGGGACAGAGGGGGUGCGCUACUUGAUGGGGCAUGUGGGCUGCACCUGAGCAUGCGGCCCGCAUAUUUGAGACCCCUGCUUUAUACCCACAUUUAGCAAUGUACUGUUCCUUCGUUUGACUACUGUUAUAGUCAUGGUGCACAGGGUACGAUAAUGUUUCACUUGUCUUUCAUUCAAAAUCUUAUCUAUUGACUCGAUGUCCAGUUGUGAAUGGUGUUAUACAUGUAUCAAAUAAAGUAAGUAAGCCCUUCUAUUACCAA